CCGCGCAUGCUCUAAACCCUCCCUUAGACAACUGUAUGAAAUAGCCUUGCUAUGUGUGACAUGGGAACAAUGAUGAGAUGGCCGUCAUACAUGUUCGGCACAGAUGAAUGUUUGAUGAGUGUUUUCCAUGUGAGAGUGGGUGGGUACCGAGGGCAGACUGCAUGUCAAUGGCACUUGAUUCCUCUUAGAUAUACCACUUUGCUUCCUCCAGAUUCACAAAUCCAUGGAACAACUUUCAAGCCUCAGUCUGAUUCUGAAAAUUCAUUUUUUGUUUUAAUGUAUGUACAGGGACUUGAUUAUGUGGAUUUGCUUUUAGUGUGUGUCGGGGGUGGGGGGGAAGAAGGAAAGGAGAAAGGGAAGGAGAGAGAGGGAGAGAAAGAGUAGAUACCAGAAUAUCAGAGAACAACCUUGGGUGUUUCCUCGGGCACUGUCCACUCUUCUUUACGGGUUACAGGUUCUCUCUCACUAGUUUGGGAGUUGCCAAGCAUGCUAACCUAGCUGGGCAGUGAGACUCAGGGUUCCUCCUGUCUCUUCCUUCUCAGGGUUGGAAAACACUUGCUUAUUUGCCAGGCUUCUCAAUGAGGUUUGAUGAUUGGAAUCAGGUCUUGGUGCUUGCAAGUCCAGAACCCUACUGACUGACUAAGCCUCAUCUUGGCUCUUUUGUUUUGCCAGGUAGAGUUACAGUUGGCCUGUUCUCCCAUCACCUCGUCUUUGGCUAGUUAACCAAGGCAGGCCUUAUUGCUGUUAGUCCAUUGAAAUGCGCGGGAGUAUGAGAAAGAAGCCUAUGUGUGGUACAUCUCACUCUUAAUGGGCAAGAGCAGCAACAGAGGGAUAUUUGUAUUAAGUGUGCAGAUGUGUGCAGAUGUAAUGGAGGGCAGGCUUGCUGUGGUUUCAAUCCUCCCUCAAGGUCACUGUUCACCAUAGCUGUUCGGACGAUAGAGCUUUAGUUUUCUUCCAUGUAAAACAAGAGGUAGAGGUGGAAAACAUGAUGGGGGGGUGGAGUAAAGAGACGGGUAUGUUAGCCUGUAACUCCAUCUGAGAUGCAGGUCUACAUAGGCUAUCACAAGACACAAAUGAAGAAGCAUGGGGGCAUGGUGGUCAAACGGUACCUCUUGGAAGGGCUCAAGGUCACAGCCAUCUUCACACACAGGGCUGUCCCUUGAUGGUGAGGCACAUGUCAUUGUGUUUACGGUCAAUGGAGGCCCAGAUCUCCUGACUGCAGCUCUCUAAAAGCAACUGGAGAUUAAAGAAGCCUGAGUCAGUAUACCAUGUGCCUGGUACCCAGGGGGCGCCCCAAUGUCAGCUCUGUCCCCCUCUCUUCAUGGUUCACAGUGGGAGACUCUGAGCACCAGACAACCCUAAGGACAUUUUCACAACACUGGCCUUUGGGUCCAAGCAUCUGGUUUCUAGACAGCUGUAGCCGAAAGGCCCUUGCUCUUUGGCUAAUGGCUAAGGAUUAACUAGGUGUGUGUUGGCUUUAAGAAAAAAAAAAAUUGAAGCCAACAGUUGGACUAUUCCUGCUUUGUGUUUUUGGCUGGCUGCUUCCUGCUUCAUAAAUCUGGAGAGGGAUGUGGGGGAGCUGACGAGCUACUCCCUGUGCCCCAAGCCUGGCUGUGUUGGGGUAGGGGGAGGCGGCCACGGUACCUCUCUGGACCAGCUGCCGUAUCCAUCUGCAGCUGGGCCUCUCCGUGAUCUACGGCCAGAGCGCUGCGCCCAGAGCCUUUAUUGCGGCUUCACAGCAGCUGGUGUGAAUGGGAGUGGAAAAAUAAACCCGUCUCUUCCCCAGCACUAGGAAAAAUGCUCCCGAACACAAACAAGCAAACACUCACCUUGCCUCGGCUGCUGAGGACCCAGUUAUCUGUGUGUUGCUGUGAGACCCUGGUUUGCAGUUUCAUUUUUAACCUCUCAAGCUGAUGGAUCAAGGUUAAAUUAGCAUCCAUGGCCAACAAGAGAUGAGAGAGAGUCCCAAGAAAGAGCUGGCCUUGAGGUCCUUCUCCCAGCCCAGUCCAGAGUCCAGUGGAGAGGGAAGGAGGGAGCUAAUCGGAGAGACUGUGCUGAUGUGAAUCCAGAGGACAGACACUGUCCCUGGCAGUGGAGCAACGGUUGAGCAGACCCUGGCUGGUGACUUCAGACACAAUAGCCAUGUCCCCGGAACAUCUUAGCUUCAGUAUCACAGGAUUCAUCUUCCGCACUGAAGACUUUUUUCACGUAUCUGGUGCUCCCAGAAUUUCUGUUUAAAAAAGCAAGGGUUACCCAGCUGAUGAGCCUGUCUUGUGAAUAAGCUCUCUGCGUUGCCUCGUCUAUCGAUGAGUGUCCAGUCUUGGUUGUCACUAUGACAGAGCUGUGGCAUCCAACAGAGAAGGAGGAAUCUUCAGGUUGCAACAGGAAGGUGAGCUCAUGUAGAUGGCAGGCUCCAGGCUCCUGCAGGUGGAUUUUGCCCUGCACUGCAAAGAAUCCACAAGGUUCUUUGCUAGCUCGGCUAUCCCUUCAUAAGAAAAUGGGGUAUUUCUCUUUUCCAACUCUGAAAUUAGACUCCCUUGUAGGAAUUUGUGGGAGGGAAUAUGAAAAAGUAUCUGUGGUAAUUUAAAUUAAAAUGUCCCCUAUAGUCUCCUGGGGAAGUGGCAUUAUUUGAAAGAAUUAGGGUGUGGGGCCUUAUUGGAGUAGGCAUGGAUUGGCGGAGGGAGUAUGUUACUAGGUGUGGGCUUUGAGGUUUCAGAAGCUCAAGCCUGGCCCAGUGGCUCAGUGUCUCUUCCUGCUGCCUGCAGGUGCAGAUGUGGAACUCUCCGCUCCUUCCAGCAUCAUGUCGGCCUACAUGCUGUCAUGUUUUCCACCAUGAUGAGUCUGAAUCUGUAAGCCAACCCUAAUAAAAUGAGUUGCCACAGGCAUGAGGUCUUCUCACAGCAAUAGAAACCCCAACCCAAAGAGUAUUCAACAGGUUGUAUUUGGGUUUGUCCAAGUGUGGGCACUCUUGGCAUGGCAGUUUGAAUAAGAAAAUGCCCCCACUGACUCAUGCUAUUGAACACAGCCCUCAGCCAGUGAUGCUGUUUUGGAAGGUUCUAGAACCUGGAGGUGAAGCCUUGCUGGAGGAAACAUGCCAUUUGGAUCUGACUUUGGUAGUUGAUAGCCUCCCAUCUCUUCCAGUUCACCCUUGACUUCCUGUGUGUGCACGCUGGAGACGGUUCCUGCAGGCACGCCUCACCGUCAUUAUAAACUGCCCCUUAAGUUGCCUGUGUGUUUGCUUCUCACAGCAAGCAUAGAUGAUAAUGUAAUUCUACCUGAGAUUCUUAACUGAUACACAGCGAUGGUUGCCAGCUCUCAUAGACUCCAGAUCACCUGUCUUCAAACAGGCAUCUUCAGGUAUUAGGGACACUUACUGGAUGGACCCCUUAUCGUGUUCUA